CCUACGGGCGGCAGCAGUCGAGAAUCAUUCACAAUGGGGGAAACCCUGAUGGUGCGACGCCGCGUGGGGGAAUGAAGGUCUUCGGAUUGUAAACCCCUGUCAUGUGGGAGCAAAUUAAAAAGAUAGUACCACAAGAGGAAGAGACGGCUAACUCUGUGCCAGCAGCCGCGGUAAUACAGCGGUCUCAAGCGUUGUUCGGAAUCACUGGGCGUAAAGCGUGCGUAGGCUGUUGCGUAAGUCGUGUGUGAAAGGCGCGGGCUCAACCCGCGGACGGCACAUGAUACUGCGAGACUAGAGUAGUGGAGGGGGAACCGGAAUUCUCGGUGUAGCAGUGAAAUGCGUAGAUAUCGAGAGGAACACUCGUGGCGAAGGCGGGUUCCUGGACAGUAACUGACGCUGAGGCACGAAGGCCAGGGGAGCGAAAGGGAUUAGAUACCCGAGUAGUC
rnacentral:rRNA from 1 species